rnacentral:rRNA from 1 species
GUCCACGCUGUAAACGUUGGGCACUAGGUGUGGGGGCCACCCGUGGUUUCUGCGCCGUAGCUAACGCUUUAAGUGCCCCGCCUGGGGAGUACGGCCGCAAGGCUAAAACUCAAAGGAAUUGACGGGGGCCCGCACAAGCGGCGGAGCAUGCGGAUUAAUUCGAUGCAACGCGAAGAACCUUACCAAGGCUUGACAUGCACCCAGGGCCUCCAGAGAUGGGGGUGCAUUUGGUUGGGGGUGUGCAGGUGGUGCAUGGUU